rnacentral:rRNA from 1 species
CACAGAGUUAGCCGGUGCUUUCUAAAGAGGUACCGUCAAGGUCCGGAGCUAUUCGCGCCGGACGUUUUCUUCCCUCUCAACAGAGCUUUACAACCCGAAGGCCUUCAUCACUCACGCGGCGUCGCUGGAUCAGGCUUGCGCCCAUUGUCCAAUAUUCCCCACUGCUGCCUCCCGUAGGAGUCUGGCCCGUGUUUCAGUGCCAGUGUGGCUGAUCAUCCUCUCAGACCAGCUACCCGUCUUCGCCUUGGUAGUCUUUUACACUGCCAACUAGCUGAUGGGCCGCAGACUCGUCCUCAGGUGCUGGCUUUCAUGAAGAGGCCAGCUUUGACCGCAGCGACCGAAGUCACCGUGGUCUCAUGCGGUAUUAGCGUCUCUUUCGAAACGUUAUCCCCCGCCUGAGGGAAGAUUAUCCACGUGUUACGCACCCGUGCGCCACUUUACCGGGCCGAAGCCCUUUCUCGUGCGACUUGCAUGUGUUAAGCGCGCCGCUAACGUUCG